rnacentral:rRNA from 1 species
GACGAACCACCCAAACGUUAUUCGGAAUCACUGGGCUUAAAGCGUGCGUAGGCGGCCUUGAAAGUUAGGUGUGAAAUCCCACAGCUCAACCGUGGAACUGCGCUUAAAACUACAAGGCUAGAGGGAUAUAGAGGUGAGCAGAACAGAUGGUGGAGCGGUGAAAUGCGUUGAUAUCAUCUGGAAUACCGGAGGCGAAGGCGGCUCACUGGGUAUCUUCCGACGCUGAGGUACGAAAGCUAGGGGAGCGAACGGGAUUAGAUACCCCGGUAGUCCUAGCUGUAAACGAUGAGCACUAGAUCGAAGGACUGCACAGUCUUUCGGUCGUAGCGAAAGUGUUAAGUGCUCCGCCUGGGGAGUAUGGUCGCAAGGCUGAA